UACGGAGGGUGCGAGCGUUGUCCGGAAUCAUUGGGCGUAAAGGGCGCGUAGGUGGCCCGGUGAGUCUUUGGUGAAAGCGCGGGGCUCAACCCUGCGUCGGCCAGGGAUACUGCCGCGGCUCGAGCACUGUAGAGGCAGGCGGAAUUCCGGGUGUAGCGGUGGAAUGCGUAGAGAUCCGGAAGAACACCGGUGGCGAGGGCGGCCUGCUGGGCAGUGGCUGACGCUGAGGCGCGACAGCGUGGGGAGCAAACAGG
rnacentral:rRNA from 1 species